rnacentral:rRNA from 1 species
UACGUAGGGUGCAAGCGUUGUCCGGAAUCAUUGGGCGUAAAGCGCGUGUAGGCGGCUGAGUAAGUCUGCUCUGAAAGCCCGGGGCUCAACCCCGGGAGGCGGGUGGAUAGCUGCUCAGCUCGAGUCCGGAAGAGGAGUGUGGAAUUCCUGGUGUAGCGGUGAAAUGCGCAGAUAUCAGGAGGAACACCAAUGGCGAAGGCAGCACUCUGGGACGGUACUGACGCUGAGACGCGGAAAGCGUGGGGAGCAAACAGG